UCCGAUUUGUCUUGCCCACGCACUCUCUGCUUAAUUAAAAUUCAUUUCACGACGCUGCCCGAUUUGUUCUGCGCAUGUCUAAUGUUUUACGACACACGUCAUUCGUCAGGUUUGACUUGUACUUGCGAGUCAUUUUUGUGUUGUCGUUUAUCUCCGUCUGUAAGUGGAAUUGUUACUGGAAAAGAUGGAAACUUUUGAAUUUUAUAACGUCUUGGAAGAUGUGUCGCCUGAAAAAUUUAACUCCAGCCGAAUGAAGAGGGAGCGAAAUGAAAUGUGACGUGUGUCUGUGAACUUUAUAAUGGACAUGUACAGCUUUUUGAUGCCCAGUGGUAACCAGCCUACCAUGUGGCUCAACAGAUGGCAGUGUACCCGAAUACUGAGACACAAUUGGAUGUUCUUUUCUUCUGCUUUUAAGAUUCCCAGUUUGGGAUGAUGUGCAGUUCAUGUUAGAUUUGCUAUUUCUACAGUUACAGUGAAGUAGAAGAGUCCAGUCAUGUUAUGGGGCAGCAGUUGAAGAAGAAGGAUGUUGAGAUGUGUGCCAUGUUGAAGUAUCGGCUGGUCCUCCUGCCCGCUCUUCUGGAAUCCUCCAUCUAAACCUCUGCUCUGAACUGCUGUGCCUUUGCCAAGUGAUCACGAGAUCAACCAUAAAAACCAGCAGCUUUCUGUACUCGUGCAACAAAAUCUGGAAUGCUUUGCCAAUAGAGAAGUGCCAGGCUACAAAUGUCAAGCAUUUCGAAAAACUUCAACAAGCCCAUUUUUCUAAUUUGGCUUUUUCUUAAUUACUUGCAUUGGUUGUAAUAGAUUAGAAAUGGUACUGUGUACACUUUGUAAGCUCUGCACUGGGCACUAAGUUCUGCUGUUUUUCUCUGUUGUUUUUUUCUAGUUUAUUGCAGUGGUGCCCCCCUGCGUCUCCACCGUCUGUUACAUCGACUCCAACUGCCUGUGACAGAAGAAAGGUUCACAAGACGUCCUGAAAUGGCAUUGUGAUUGGAGUAAGACGGCCACAAUCAUGUAUGCUGGGAUGUGCAGAGGGGGCUGUUUGGGCUUUGGCUUGGGACCCCCAGAGGUUUAUUAUCUCCAGUAUCCUUGAAGGCUGCAAGUUUGUCUUUGUCCCCACCAUUUGACCAGGCAGUGUAUUUAUUACAAAGGACAAGGACCCCUCCAUUUGAUUCUUAUUUACUUUUAUAAUAUCUUCAGUUUUCUUUGUAACUGUAUAUCUUUGUGGAGCAAUUUGAGCAACACUUGUAAGCAAAGGUGAUAUAAAAAUAUUAUCAGUGAACAAAUAUUAAAGGACAGAUAAGGAAAAAUGUCAGUUUAAAUAGAACACAUUUUUUAUGGAAUAUUGCUGGAUAACAACUCUUUGACUCUGAGUAGCAUCUUGUUCAUAAAGCUAAAAUAGCAUUUUUCCUUUUUUAACAAAUUUAAUGAUUCACUUUUAUUGUGUUCAAAACCUUGACUAACAUUUUUUUUAAAUACUAAGGUAAAAAUCUGUAAAUAUAUUUGUGUUCUCCUUCCCUAAUAGUUUUUAACACCUCCCCUAGUUGGCCAUUUUCAUUGUAGUUGUGUUCUAGUUAAAUGCAUUUACCAUUUAUACAUCUUUAUGAUUACUGAAUUUUAACUCAUAAUAUAUUUACA